rnacentral:rRNA from 1 species
GAUGAACGCUGGCGGCGUGCCUAAUACAUGCAAGUCGAGCGAACAGACGAGGAGCUUGCUCCUCUGACGUUAGCGGCGGACGGGUGAGUAACACGUGGAUAACCUACCUAUAAGACUGGGAUAACUUCGGGAAACCGGAGCUAAUACCGGAUAAUAUAUUGAACCGCAUGGUUCAAUAGUGAAAGACGGUUUUGCUGUCACUUAUAGAUGGAUCCGCGCCGCAUUAGCUAGUUGGUAAGGUAACGGCUUACCAAGGCAACGAUGCGUAGCCGACCUGAGAGGGUGAUCGGCCACACUGGAACUGAGACACGGUCCAGACUCCUACGGGAGGCAGCAGUAGGGAAUCUUCCGCAAUGGGCGAAAGCCUGACGGAGCAACGCCGCGUGAGUGAUGCAGGUCUUCGGAUCGUAAAACUCUGUUAUUAGGGAAGAACAAAUGUGUAAGUAACUAUGCACGUCUUGACGGUACCUAAUCAGAAAGCCACGGCUAACUACGUG